GCGGAAACUUCGUCGGGCUGUCAAAGGCUACAGAGCGCACACUGCUCCAGUUCUUCCUUUCUUCCUUGCUCUCAUGUCUCCAGCUGACUGGUAAGUAGUUAUUGAAGAAACAUUACACAGACUAUGCUUACAAUUGUCUGUCUUCAUUAAUGGUUUUUAAAUUAUUCAUUUUAUCACUGAUAGCGAUCUGUUGCAACAUUUUUUUUUUUCUGCUUAACAUGCAAGAAUACAAAACUUAAAAAUCCCUUUGUCAUUUAGAGUUCAGGCUCUUCCAAGCAAGCACUCCCCUUACGCUUCUGUAAAUCACAUUUUUGCAGGCUUGGAAAUGCAUAUUUUUCCUUAUUAUUUUUAUCUCUAAUAGAAAAAGUCUCCAUAGACCAGAUGGAAUGGUAAGCUUUAGAAGUCAUAAGUUUAUGAAACUUCUUUUAAAGAUGAUUUUUGCUGCUACUGAAAUGUUCUAAGAAACCUGCCUUUAGCUUAUGAUUGAUCUAUGAACUUAAGCACGUUCUAAGUAUAAUAGAAAUAAAAUACCUGUGUCCUUAAUUAAACAUAUUCAUAAAGAGGCUCAUUCCAAAAUGUAGGAAUGAAAUCUGGUUUUGUUUUAAACAAUGCAUACCUCAAGUAAUAUCAUGAAGAGAAAAGCUCUCUUUCUAUGGUGAGAUCAGUUUCUCUGCCUAUCUGCCCCUUUAAGCUCUAAGGAGAGUACUGCAUGUAUUCCAACUCAGCAACAGUUCCCUUUAUGGACAUUAAUCCCCAUUAAAGAAAAAGGGAAAUACAUGCUAUCUUUUCUUGGACACAGAAUCACAGAACAGUUGGAGGGGACCUCAAAGCCCAUCCAGCCCCAGCCCUAUGCUGUGGGCAGGGCUGCCCCCUACCAGCUCAGUCUGCCCAGCUCCCCAUCCAGCCUGGCCUUGACCGCCUCCAGGGAUGGAGCACCCUGUGUACAAGAAUGUAGAAAAUGUGCACAAGUUCUGCCACUUUAAAUCAUUUUCUAUUUUUAUAUGCUUGUUGCAGAGCUGUACUUGAGAUUUUCCAAAUGUAAACUUCAGAAAAGGAUUACUACCGUAUUAGUUGCAAUAGUUAAAUAAUAAUUGUGCAGUGAAACCUUUGGAGAGAGGAGAAACUCAGUUCAGGACCUGUGCAUAUGAGCUCAUUCUGAGGAAAAAUAAUCGUAUCUACAAAGUAUAAUAUUUUGUGCUUUUAAUUGUGGGACUUAAGAAUGAUUAUAAAUGGAUUUUGAUGCACCUAUUUUCACCCCAAUUUUAGUAACCCAAGGGAAAUUGGAUUUUAAUCACGUUCACAAUCUUAUUAGACAUUUCUGCCUUUUUGCUUGAAAAGAGGUAACAAAGCAUGUUUGCAUGUGUGUGGUCAUGCACAGAGUAGAGCAGGAUAUUUAAAUACAGUCUUUUUCAGAAACAUAUACUUAGUAGUAUGCCUUGGUCUUCCUUUUUGCAACCCAAAGGGAUGCAGUGCAGCACUAACCUUUUUAGUUUUUGCACUGUCAUUGUGUUAGAAAACAGAACGAAGUAUUUCUAAAGCUUGUUGUGUUUAGCUCUGUUCAGAUGGAAAAUGAACUUCAGCUGAAAACACAGAUUGGUGUUAGCGUUUUCCUAUACUAUUUAUAACUACCUUCUUGUUUUAUUUGUUAAGUUGCUCUAGAUACAUUUGUUUUUACAGUAAGUUUCUUCAAUAAAAGAAUUGACUAUCACAAGUUUUAAGAUGAAGAUAAGAAAAAAUAAAGGCUGUUGCUGUAUAAACUGAUUUAGCACUGUAAGUCUAACCAAUGUUAAGUAAUAUUUUUAACUUUCCUUAAAACUUCUUUAUCAGGAGUUGUACUGUUUAGAAUUUGUUCUUCUCCAAAUAGGUUAACAUAAGUUUGUUGUGGUUUAACCCAGCAGGUGGCUCAGCACCACAGUCAUUUGCUCACUUUUUACAACGAUGGAUAUGUAUGCUUGUAUCUGAAGUAAGCAUUUUAAAGAGAUAUUUUUCUCAUUCAAACACUCAUGUUGACAUUAAUUGUGUACAGUAAGGCUAGCUAAUGUACAGUUGGCAAUUAUAAUCUUGUCUCUGAAGACAAGCCCUUAAAAAUAAAGAACCGGUAUCUU
ensembl:lncRNA